CCCAGUACCUGCAGGCACCUAAGGGACACAGAGCUCAGACCCUAACCUGCCCUCUGCCACCCACCCAGUCAGUCUCCUUCCAGCAGGUGCAGCCGGGAAGUCACCCUGGGCUUCUCUCCACAGGUGGGAAGCAGAACCAUGCUGGGUCCCCUCGCCCUCCUGUGCACCCUCCUGUUUCCCGGCAGCUGGGCAGCGAUCAGCCUGGAGCAGCCCUCUAUGGUCGUGGCGCAGGCAGGCCGCUCAGCCACUCUGUGGUGCAAAGCCAGCACCAAGGUCAGCUACAUCCACUGGUACCACCACCAGGAAGGUGCGGCCCCGAAGAGGCUCCUCAGACUGGACAUGUCCGGAACGUUUGUGCAGAAAGAUGGGGGCCUGAAAGCGGACAAAGUCAAUGCCAAGAGGGGCAAGGGUAGCAACAGCUGUGACCUGUCCGUGCUGGAGCUGGAGGAGAGCGACGAGGGCGUGUACUACUGUGCUGCCUGGGAAGCUCACAGCUCAGGCUGGAUCAAGAUAUCUUCAGAAGGAAUUAGGCUCAUAGUAACUCCUCCUGCUAAAAGCCCUGAUGAAGACACUUCCCCCAAGCCCACGAUUUUUCUUCCUUCAAUUGAUGAAAGAAAACUCCACAAGGCUGGAACGUAUCUUUGUCUUCUUGAGGAUUUUUUCCCUGAUGUUAUCAAUAUAGAUUGGAAAGAGAAAAAUGGCAGAGUAAUAUUGAAAUCCCAGCAGGGAGACACCAUGAAGACUAAGGACACAUACAUGAAAUACACCUGGCUGACCGUGAGAGAAGACUCAAUGGGUAAAGAAUACAAAUGUAUCGUCAAACACCAGAAGAAUAAAGGAGGGGUUGAUCAAGAGAUUCUUUUUCCUUCAAUAAACACAGCAGAUUUGGUGACGGGAUCCAAAGUGGGCUUCCAGAAGGAAUCAGAGACAAGUAGAAACACAAGGCCAGUAACCGUGAGCCCUUCGAGUACACUGUCUACAUCACCAUUUUCAAGUGCCGCGGAGCUCACUGCUGUUAACUCUACAGAAGCUUCUUUGAAAGACGAAAAUGACCCCCUGCAGCUGCAGCUCAUGAACACCUCUGCCUACUACACCUACCUCCUCCUCCUCGUCAAGAGCAUGGUCUACACCAUCAUCACCGCCAUCUGUCUGCUUGGGAGAGCGGCACUCUGUGACAAUGGGAAGAGUUCCUGACCCGUGGUGGCACAGGGUCCAUGUUUCUCCAUUGACUGUUGUCACUAAAAGUGUCUGCUGAGGGUCUAGCGGGGCUUUCUUUCUGGGUGGUUCAUUUCAACUCACACGUCGCCUUUUUCUAUGUGUCAUCAUUGCAGAAUGGGUUUGCAAACUCCUGGGCAAACAGGAAAUGUCACUCUGCACCAAGAACAGACUCUGCCAUGAGUCAGGGGCGGGGCCGGGGGGCACCCACGGGGGCUUUAGCACCUCUCUCUCCUUCAUGCCCACCAGCUGGUCAGCCACCCAGCACCCUCGCCUCUGAGUACAGCCGGCGUGCAGCUUCCAUCGCGGCCCCUGGGGCUCUGUAUCCAGAUAACUGCCUGGAGGCCUUUUAUUUUACAUACAUGGAAGCUGCCAUCUUUGCUACCUGAGUUUUGUUCUGUUGUUCAUAACAGGCAUAAUAAAAA